rnacentral:tRNA from 1 species
GGGAGUAUAGCCAAAAGGUAAGGCAAAGGACUGCAACUCCUUGAUUAUCAGUUCAACCCUGAUUACUCCCUCCA